AUAACAAGCAGACCUUGCCCUCUUCGCAUGGAGGAUCUGUCUAAUCUCAGAGGGCAUUUUUGAGCAUUUCCUCUGAUGAAGACAGCCCUGCUUGCUAAGAGCUUGCAAUCAUUCUAACAGAG
rnacentral:precursor_RNA from 8 species